rnacentral:lncRNA from 1 species
UAAGAACAUGUACUAAAAAUAGUAUCAUUGAAUAGUACUAACCUUCAUCUCAUCACUAGCAAAAUAAUCACAUAGGAAAUCCAAAUCACUUUGCUCUGCUAUAGAUGCAGGCUUGUUUCUUUUUGCAAGUCUAAUAUCUUCAUUGCCACCUAUGCCUUCAAAUUUUUUUAUGCAAUCUACAACGAUACUCCUUCCACUUCUUGUUCAUUGAACGGUCAAUAGCAUCUUUAAUUGGCUGGUUCAAUUCAAACUCGAAUUUUUCCUUAAAAAAAAAAUUAUUAGAGAAAAACUUGCACGUGUACUUAAUAAAGAGAGACAUAUAAAGUGAAGGAGAAGUACAUGCAGAUGAUCCAAAAGUGGACUCUUAGAAGCAUCACCAAUCUCUUUCCACUUUUUGAUUGGUAGAGGUGCUAUCGAACGAAAAAUAAAUCCAAUUUCAUUAGCCCAAGCACAUGCAUUCUCUCCAAUGGCUUCUCCAUUUUUGUUAAAUUCUACUUGCAAUUUAUGUUUAGUAGUAAGCACAGCAUGUUCACUUCAUUUUCCGUGCGUAGGACCUCGAAUACAUAAAUAGCUAGUUAUAUACUCAUAAAUAUAAACACAUAGAUACAUCAAACCCUCAACCAAAAUAAAUCACUGGUUUAUGAAUAUACAAAUAUACAUUGUCAAACAACUUGAUAAUGGGGUACUUGAAUUUACGAACUUGCCUUGUUGCUAUUUGAAUUGAAGGAAGCUCUAUUAUCCAUAACUCUUUGUAUGGCCCCUACAAGAUAUUUGAACUAAUAAUCAAA